rnacentral:lncRNA from 1 species
AAAAUUAUUUUAUCUCGCAUUUCUUUUAAUUUACAAAUAAAAUUAUAAAUACAAAACCCAUCAAAAUUGUACCAUCGAAACAAUAUCAUUAAACAAAAUCUGAAAUGAUGAUGAUGAUCUGACGGUGGAGAAAUGAAUUUGGAGGAUAAAGGUCAAAGAAAGGUAGGGGCAGAAAGCGAUGGCAUAAGAUUACGGAAGGCGACGUUGUAGGGAAACGGAGAAGACAAAGGCGGGUAAGGUUGCCCUGUUGCCCACGUGGCUUAUAAUUUAUUACGAUGUAACACUUGCUUGGGUAAAUGAAAUGCCUCUUGGAAGGGACACUCAAUGGUCGUACGUAGAAGAACAUAUUGAGAUGUUAAUUAAUAGUAAUUUAUUUUGCUGUAUUAGUGACAGAUUAUUAAAGUAAUUAAUUAAGUAGAAUUUGCUUAGAAACAGCUCAUAAGAGACAGCCA